GCGGCCGUAGCUCAAUUUGGUUAGAGCACCGCCCUGUCACGGCGGGGGUUACCGGUUCAAGUCCGGCCGGCCGCG
rnacentral:tRNA from 1 species